CGCGGUCAGCGCGCGGCCCCGGGGGAGGUCCGGGUGGGGGGACGCCUCCCUCGUGGGGAGGGCACAGGUGGAGGGACGUCGCCCCUCGUGGGGAAGGGAGUGGGUCGCCACCCGCCGCCCCCAGGGGCCAUUCCAGGGGUCCCAACACGCGGUCAUUCUCUGACGGAGUCGCGGUCCCAUCCUGACCCAGGGGGAGACCCGAGGAGCAGGAUUCGGAAGUUCGCAGUGUCGGGGGAGGCUAACCGGGAAACGGGGCCCACCCCACAGCCCGCAGCCUCUGGAGGUCCCCCGAGUGGCCCUUCGGCAGGAGGUGCCGCGGGCCUCGGGCACAGGGAAACGAAGAAACCAGAGCUGCGGAUCCACUCAGACCUGGGCCUCCGCCCCGGGACAAGGCCCGUGACCUCAGGGACGGAGCCGCCCCUCCCGGACGCCGGCAGCUGCUGGCGUCCCCAGCGCCACACGCCCAGGAGUUCGGGCGGCGCGCAGGCUCCCAGCAAAUGCUGUGAUGCUUCUGGGCUGAUACAUCAUCACGGAAUACCUUUCUAGUGGGUAAUUGUGGACCUAGGACUUCCUGGUGUUCACAUUCAUGUCUUUACGUGGCAUCCUGGGUGUAAUCGGCACCCACAGGUAAGUUCUUCCUGCCUGACCGGCAGGACAGGCAAUCGUGUGGCAAGGACGAACAACGCGGCCCACAGGUCUGUCCCACCAAGCCCUCAGGGAAGCCGGGCGGCCUGCUGGACGGCGUUCAAACCCUACCACACUCAAACCCGCAGGCGUGACAGGGUGGGCCCCAACACAGGCAGCUGGCCCUAUGUAUGUUUGUGCUUUAUCACUUGAUCGGCUCACUGCUUUGUUAAGACAUGAAUUCAAACAGAAUUAAGGUAGAAUGUUUGCUUCCAGUCUGAGCAAAUCCAGACAAGGGGAGCAGCUGCCCUAAGACCUGACAGUGUGAGCAGAAUUCACACAAAUUCGUUCCUCAAAAGCUGUAUGCAAAGUGUUUGCACGUGGAACCACCACCGUGCGAUGUCUGGUUCUGGAGACGGGCGCCCACAGGGAAGGAGAUUUGGCAUGAUAACCGUAAACUCGGUUCAUUCCCAUGACCUUUCACAUACCUGUUGGAGUUCGCUUACGACGAAAACAUACCAGACGACCUCACGUUCCCAAGUCUGCGUCCGCACUGGAGGAGCCAAGUUCGCGGAAUUGAGCCCACAGUGCCAAGGAUACAGACACACUACGAAACCCCAGCAGGUACCUGCGGACGUGAGUCAGCUCUCCUUAACACUGAACUGGAAGAAAUGGGGAGUCGGAUCGAGGACCUACAGAAGAAUGUCAACGACCUGAUGCUGCAGGCUGGGAUCGAAAACGCUGCCACGGAACAAACGACUUGAAGACAGAAUCCAGUCACUUGAAAAUGUAACAAAAUAAAAAAUUUACUUUUUGAGUAAUAAUCUAUAUAACCUGAGUUCCGACUUCUAGUAUUUAAAAAUUCAUUCUAGCAAAGUAAAAGAUCAGCAGAACAGAGACGCUGCGGUAGGAGUAACUCAGCCGGUGACGGGCCCCACAGCGAAGCGGCUCCGACACGGCCGGGGGCGCCCAGCGCUGGCCACCACGGAGGG